rnacentral:lncRNA from 1 species
AGGCGCCAACAUUUGGUGCUCUUUAGCCCACUCUCUCACACACCAUAUAGGAAUAUGGGAUGCCUCCUAGCUGGUCCUUCAUGCCCUCAACCAAGUGGGCACACCCAACUUAAUCAAAUCAAGUGGCGCCCCACAUGAAAUAAUCAAGAAAAUGCUUAAGGAUUUGAACCCUUAAUGCAUAUGAUCCAAAAUUCUAAAUACCUAACAAUUAAAGCCCAAUGAAUCUAAUUCAUUUAGAUUAUUAGUAGAUAAUUAACUCGAAUAAAUCUUAUCAAAUAAGUAAUUUAAAUAUAA